rnacentral:misc_RNA from 1 species
AAGUCGUAACAAGGUUUCCGUAGGUGAACCUGCGGAAGGAUCAUUAAUGAGUUAGGGUCUUCCAGGCCCGAUCUCCAACCCUUUGUAUAAUUACCAUGUUGCUUUGGCGGGCCCGUCUUUAACCGGACCGCCGGGAGUUUUUUAACCCCUGGCCAGUGCUCGUCAAUAGCCCUUAACAAACUCUUUUAACCAAGUUAAAUCUGAAAAUAUUUAAAUAAACUAAAACUUUCAACAACGGAUCUCUUGGUUCUG